CGUCACCACGAGCGCGAGAAGUCGAAGGUGUAUCAGUAUGAAGCAGGCGGUGACGGCGCACUGAUUCACUCUCGGAGCUCGGUUCACUAAUGACCGAAUCACCGAGGAACCGACCAAAGAUAACUCACACCCGCACGGAGAAGAAGAACAAGAGGAGGAGAAGAUGAACUGGAGUGGGGCAAAGAGAACUGCAUUCAGAUCAAACGGAUACAAGAGAGGUGGCCGAGUUGUUUGAGGAUCUAAAGAAUUGAGUGUCACAAUUCAACAUGCACAUCAGCGAAACUUUUCCCUCUGACUACACCAGCACGCACGCACAGAAAUUCAUAGUGCAGCUGCAGUUCAUAGAAACCUCUUCACGGCUAAAGCUGCAGAGAUGGAGGUCGAGGGGACCAUGAAGAGGCGGCUCCAGCUGGCAUCAGAUCGAGAGUGUGGGCGCAAGAGCAGACUUUUGAUAAAGGAGGGUAUUUACAGUGUUUUAACUGCUGUGUUUUUUGCGCUAUUUAUUAAUUUGUUAAAAUGUUCAUAUUAUAGUCUAUUUUUAAUUGUUUAUAAAAGUCCUUGCUGUUUUUAAGUGGCUGAAUUAGUGUGUGUGCACGCGUGUGUGUGUGCGUGUUGGUAGCUGGGUGGGUAUAUAGUUCUGGUCUGAAGUUGACAUACCCCUUGCAGGAGAAAGAGACCCUGUGUAAUCUGUUUAAACGACUUUUACGCAUGUUUUGCAGAGAGAUCAUUUUCACCUUGCUGUUUGGGUCUCUGUCCCACACUGUUACAGUGCAGAAUUGAGAGCGCGAGGGAGAUCGAUUUUCUAUCAGAAACAGUAACUAUAUAAAAUGGACGUCAACACGCAGCACUCUGUGAGGUCAUUUCUCGCUCUCAACAGAGUAGUUGUGAUUGUUCAGUGUUUAUCACGGGGCCAAAACAUUCAAGGCCAUGGUGUAUUUUGACUGUUCCUGUAGCAUAAUCUCACCAAACUGUGUGUACACGAGUCCACAGACACUGAGUCUAUUCACAGUUCCAUGCUGUGUAGAUGUUCUGCUCAUCCUCACUGUACCGUAAAGGUCAGAACCUCACAUCUGUAACCUUGUAGCUUUCCUUAAUCAACACGACUGCAACCAAGCUUGUGUAGCACUACUAUUUUUAGAUCUCCGCCUCUCAAAAGUAUUGGCGCCCUGCGCGGCCGCCUCUCAAAUCUGUUGGCGCCCUAUGCGUCCGGCUGUCAAAUCUAUUGGCGCCCUAUGCGUCCGGCUCUCAAAACUAUUGGCGCCCUUCACGGGCAGUUCUCAAAAGUAUUGGCACCCGAUCUGAAUUUUGCCACGGCAAGCACCACUCACAUUUUCUUCAGGAAAUGUACCUUAAAAUAAUAAAGUCUCUCACUAGGCUGUGUGUCGAGAUAAACGUGAAAACAUCUUGAGCUUGUGUUCACCACAGACCUUAUUUCCGGCAUUUAACCCAAAACCCCAUUGACGGAAGUGCUAAUACGCUGACUCGUUUCUGGGUUUCACGACUCAUUCCUGCAGCACUCUGUAAGACGGGCUGUUGUUAUCAAACCAUCGAAGUAAGAUAAGCGGCUUUGGUAAUGAUUCUUUAAAUGAACCGAUUCAGAAUCCUCUUCUUGAAUCGUUUGAGUCGUUCUCACUCGGUCAGGGUUGCACGUGUGGGUUGCUUUUCCUGCACGUGUAAUCAGCACGUGUUCACAGACCGUAAAUCCCGACCCCAUGGUAGACACUUGACAGAAAUUUCAUACUAAAGUAAGUAUUUUAUAUUUUCUGGGUCUAAACAGAGCAGAAGUAUUGCUAACGUGUUGUACAGAUUCUAUUGGACUGGUGAACUGUGUGGAUUUGUAUAUUUAACCCAGUUUAAUAUGGCCUGCUUUGUUCAGUCAGAGACAAGUAAAUCUGUUCUAAUGUUCAUUUAUUUUCCAUAGAUAAAACACAUGUUUGCUUACACAUGAAUACGUACUUUAUGCCUUCAGAAUGGUGGAGAUUUGGCUCUUAACUAUGGUUAAGUGGGGGGUACUAUAAAAUGCACAGUUCUGAGACACUAUAUACCUAUACUGUGAAAUCAGUACAUGUGUGUGUUUAGAAUGAUUAUAGCUUUUGGGGAAAAAACUAUUCUUGAAUCUAUUAGUCCUUGUUCUGAUGCACCUGUAACGUCUCCCUGAGGGCAACAGAUCAGAGCCAGGGUGAGAGCUGUCCUCAAUGAUGGUUUUUCCUCUGCUGAGGCAACGGGGGGUGUAAAUAUCCAUCAGGGAGGUGUUGUGGAUAAAAAAUGUCAUAAAAUAAACAUAAGGGAGACCUAGCAUCCAGCAAAGGGGAGAAGAAGAAAAGAUGGGCACCUAGACACAUAGAAGCGGGAUUAGGCGGACAUUGACAAAUUGGAAUUACACUUUAAAGAUCUUUAAGAGCAGUAGUAGUCAAAAAAGUCAAAAAGAGGUAUACGAGCUGAGCUGAGGAGUGCUAAUACACACACACACACGCUCGUACAGUCAAGGGCGGGCAAGUAGACACAACAUACACACACAUGAAUAACUUUAAUAAUCUUAUAGUAAUAGAGAAACUCUCUAUAAAAAACAGAAUAGUAGGAUAUGCAGGACAGUAUGGAGGAUAUGCAGGAGCUUAAGCUCAUCACUUCUGAGAAUUCUCAUCGGUGUGGAUCUCGUGUGGUGGAACGGAACAAUAAAUCUGGACCCUUGCUUCUUCUCACUCACGGCUGGUGUCUUUUUUUUCUAUCUCCAACUGGGCUCAGAGGUAGAUGUGAGUGUUGGCUUCUAUGUUGAAUUUUAAGUGUUUUUGGGUAAUAGGCUAUAUUUGAGCCAACAGAGGGGAGAGGUAAUAAAUAAACUUAUAAAUGUGAUUACUUGAUGACCGUAGACAGAACUCUAUAAAUGUGAAAUGUUUUGUUGAAGUUCAGAUGAAUCUCUGAUGUACAGAAUCUUCAACAGAGUUCUGCAGAAAGAUUUUGAAUGCCUGUCAUUCACCAGAACAAAUUUGCAGUUGAACAGUCUGUCUAAAAGAAAAAAUCUAAACACACAAUAUAAAAUUCCUGCAGUGUGAAUAAAGCCUUUGUGUUGCUUUUAGCAAACAUGUCUAGUACUCUCGGUUCAAUGUACACAAUUUACCCCAUUUAAAUGCAUUUUGGAAAUUGUUCCACAUGGCCUUAAAGUGUGAAUAUUCACUGUACGCCAAAUAAGUAAUCAAAGAAUGGAACUGAAUUUUUUCUUCUCUAACGGACCAUUAAUCACAAUUAUAAAAGAUGAUGCAUCAGGUACAAAGUAUCAGGGUUUUUCCCCCUCUUUUUCCCACAAUAGUUGCAUGAUUUUUGCUACACCCUUUCCACCGUGUGUGUGUGUGUGUGUGUGUGUGCGCGCGCGCUACAAAUCACUUUGAGGUAAAAAUAUUUUAAGGCAGCCACUUUCACCUUCCUACAACAAUUGGUGACUGGUCUGAGGUGAAGCUUCUUGUCAUGUUACUGUGGUCAUGGAUCACAUUGUGGGGAUCUCUGUAAUGUAACCGUUUCUGUAAUUAUCCUUACCUGCUUUUGUGCUUCUGUGUCUUCUGUUGGUGCUUUAUUCUGCUUUUUAGGGCCCGAGCACCGCUGCUGCAAAGCCGUAUUGGAUCUGCUGUUUAUUAUUGGGGCAGAGCACCGAAAGUGCAGCGCUUCCGGUGACCACCGGAGGGCGCAUGCACCGGAGGUGCAGGGCCCUAUUGAUUUUCUGGUGUUUAUUGUUUAUUUCAUGCAUUCUUGUCGUUUUUAAGGGCCUAAACAUGGCUGAAAACUCCCAAAACUCGGUAGACGCGCCAGCACCAGUGAAAAUGUAACUUACAUUGGGCAUGGGCAUGGUCGAGGAGCUCCUUAGCACCCCUGAAGGCAGGCAAUGGUCGGGAUGAAGUUGCUCCGAUGUGCACGAUUUACCAUAUAUAUAUAUAUAUAUAUAUAUAUAUAUAUAUAUAAAGAUAGAUAUGGGGUAAUAAAGUGUAAAAUAUAGAUAAUUCACAAUAAUUUAAUAUCAGAUAUCAGUUAGAUUCAGCUUCGGACACAAGUUCCAGGUACUGAUCGAGAAGGAGUGGAUCAGCUUCGGACACAAGCUGACCUCGCGUGUCGGCCUUGGAGAUGAGAAUCACGCCAACUCGGAACGAUCCCCUCUCUUUGUGCAGUUCAUCGACUGUGUGUGGCAGAUGAUGAGACAGGUGAAACCCAGGGCUCAAACCAAGAGAAGACAUUCAGAGCUAUUCAUUGUUUAAAGUCCAUUUAACGAGGUACACCUGGCCAGCAAGAAAAAAACAUCAGUCACUCGUUCCAGUAUUUUUGAACAGUUAAUGAAUAGGAUGGCUUCAAAAAAGCUGCCAUAUUUUAAGCUGUGUAACACGUCUAGAUGUAAAUAUGAAGAAAUGAAAGCUGAAAUUCUGAUCUAUCGUCUCAUAUUCGUCUUUUAUCUCAAACCCAAAUGUCUUCAGUAUACAGCAAAAGCAAGUGAAUUGGCCUUGAUGUUCCAAUACUUUUGAAGAGGACUCUAAUUGUAAGAAUUAAAUAUAAUUUCCGUACUGAACAAAAGACUGAUUAUCUGUUCAGGCACUAUUGUGCAGAUCCACAUUUAAGCAUCUUACUAUACACUGAGUUCAAAGAGCUUUUUCUCAUCCCCAUCCUGGAUCGCCCCUACAGCUGCCUGUUUGGUACAUUCCUCUACAGCAGUGAGCAGGAGAGAAUGGAAAAGGAAGUACAGGGUAAAACGGUCACUGUGGUCCUACGUUAACAGUCAGCCGGAGGACUUCACUAACCCGUUCUAUGUGGACUGUAAAAACCAGGUGCUGUAUCCACUGGCCAGUCUCACACAUCUGGAGCUCUGGGUGGGUUAUUAUGUGCGUUGGAACCCACGCAUGAGACCACAGAUGCCGCUCCAUCAGAAUCUGAGAGAGUUAUUGUUUUUGCGUGAAGAACGUGGAGGAGCUCCAGAGAGAGGCCACGUCAUCCUGCUCCAUCUCCUCAUCCUCAGAGCAUACUUCUCCCUCCUCACAUAGUGGAGAGCCGAAGUUUCUGGAAUACUCAAACCAGACCAUUUAGAAUCUACAACCAUGCCACGGAUAAAAUCACUGGAUUACAUUCUGGUGUUUGAUGUGAAUAUUGACUGAAGCUCUUCAUCUGUUCCUGCUUGAUGUUGUACACUGUGGUGUUGCCAUAUGAUUGGCUGAUUGGAUAAUUGUAUGAAUGAGCACAUGUACAAGUGAUCAGUGAGCACAUCUAUCUACCAUAGAGGUAUUUUGGGGCAAUACUUGACAAUGUACCUGACUUUGUUAGAUUUGUGGCCAAGUUGAAGAAGCUUUUGACAUCCCAAUGGAAAAUAAUAAAUAAAACAAUCCAGGACAAAUUCACUUUCAGUAUUUUAUUUUUACAUUGUUUUUUUCCCCCUUAAUGUUAAUCUCUUUCUACAGAACCCGUCCAAACUUCAUAUGUCAAUGUAGUAAGCAAGAUAAACUGUCUACAGAUAAAGAAUCUAAGCAUGCAUCUGUUUUCACCCUUAUAGAAAAAGUUUAGCAGUUCCUAUCCAAAAGACACCAAGAGCCCAGAUGUCCUUAGAAACUAAAUGUAACCUCCAACUCGUGGCCUUUUCAGAAACUCGAUUCCCAGACGUCGCCACACUGAUCACAGUGCAUCCUUCAAAUCCACCGUGCAGCGGAAAUGGACCAGUCGAUUUAAACGGAUUGUUGAAAAUGUACGUUGUUCAAGGCAUUUGUGGAUUUGAAAUUUCGCUACAAACCGAGUCUGAACAGUCGCCAGAAUCUGAGGCAAAAACACACGAAGGAACGAGAUCACGUCGUCAUUGCCUCGUCUCUGGUGUUCUACAUUUUUGACGAAAGUAACACCAGAGAUGCUGCGUUAAAAUGGUCAAGAAAAUUACACCAGAGUAAAAAAAAUCCCAUUGUGUUAGAUUAUAAACAUCGACUGAAACUCUCGAUAGGACGUGACACUGUUGGAG